rnacentral:rRNA from 1 species
UACGUAGGGGCAAGCGUUGUCCGGAUUUAUUGGGCGUAAAGAGCGUGUAGGCGGCUUUACAGGUCCGUUGUGAAAACUCGAGGCUCAACCUCGAGACGCCGGUGGAAACCGUAAAGCUAGAGUCCGGAAGAGGAGAGUGGAAUUCCUGGUGUAGCGGUGAAAUGCGCAGAUAUCAGGAAGAACACCCGUGGCGAAGGCGGCUCUCUGGGACGGUACUGACGCUGAGACGGCGAAAGCGUGGGGAGCGAA